UAGGGUAUAGCUCAGUGGUAGAGGACAUGCUUAGCAUGCACGAGGUCCUGGGUUCAGUCCCCAGUACCUUUA
rnacentral:tRNA from 1 species